rnacentral:tRNA from 1 species
GUAGACAUAGUGUAAUAAAAACAUUAGAUUGUGAUUCUAAAAAUAGAGGUUAAACCCCUCUUGGUCACC